GACAGAGGGUGCAAGCGUUAAUCGGAAUUACUGGGCGUAAAGGGCGCGUAGGUGGAAGGAUAAGUGAGAGGUGAAAUACCCGGGCUCAACCUGGGGGAGUCCUAUUAGACUGUCCAUCUAAGAGUGUGGGAGAGGGUAGUGGAAUUUCCGGAGUAGCGGUGAAAUGCGUAGAUACCGGAAGGAACACCCGUGGCGAAGGCGGCUACCUGGCUUAACACUGACACUGAGGCGCGAAGGCGUGGGGAGCGAACAGG
rnacentral:rRNA from 1 species